GACGAACGCUGGCGGCGUGCCUAACACAUGCAAGUCGAGCGGGGAUUUAAGUGGAAGUUCUUCGGAAUGGAGAUUUAAAUUCUAGCGGCGGACGGGUGAGUAACGCGUGAACAAUCUGUCCCGGACAGGGGGAUAACACUUGGAAACAGGUGCUAAUACCGCAUAAGACCACGGCCUCGCAUGGGGCUGAGGUAAAAGGAGCAAUCCGGUUCGGGGUGAGUUCGCGUCCGAUUAGCUAGUUGGUGAGGUAACGGCCCACCAAGGCGACGAUCGGUAGCCGGCCUGAGAGGGUGAACGGCCAAAUUGGAACUGAGAGACGGUCCAAACUCCUACGGGAGGCAGCAGUGGGGAAUAUUGGGCAAUGGGCGAAAGCCUGACCCAGCAACGCCGCGUGAGGGAAGAAGGUUUUCGGAUUGUAAACCUCUGUCCUAUGGGACGAAGGAAGUGACGGUACCAUAGGAGGAAGCCCCGGCUAACUACGUG
rnacentral:rRNA from 1 species